GCUGGGUGUGGUGACCCACGCCUGUAAUCCUAGCACUCUGGGAGGCCGAGGUGGGUGGAUCACCUGAGGCCAGGAGUUCGAGACCAGCCUGGCCAACAUGGUGAAACCCCGUCUCUA
rnacentral:SRP_RNA from 1 species